UACGUAGGGUGCGAGCGUUAAUCGGAAUUACUGGGCGUAAAGCGUGCGCAGGCUGUUUUGUAAGACAGGCGUGAAAUCCCCGGGCUCAACCUGGGAAUGGCGCUUGUGACUGCAAAGCUAGAGUGCGGCAGAGGGGGAUGGAAUUCCGGCGUGUAGCAGUGAAAUGCGUAGAUAAUGUGGAGGAACACCGAUGGCGAAGGCAGCCCCCUGGGCCAAUAACGUGACGCCUCGAUGACACGAAAGCCGUGG
rnacentral:rRNA from 1 species